GACGAACGCUGGCGGCGUGCUUAACACAUGCAAGUCGAACGAUGAAAGAGAAUCCGAUCUCUUCGGAGUGAAGAAUCUCUGGAUUAGUGGCGGACGGGUGAGUAACGCGUGAGCAAUCUGCCUUACACAAAGGGAUAGCCUCGGGAAACCGGGAUUAAUACCAUAUGAUAUCUAUUAACCGCAUGGUCUAUAGAUUAAAGAAUUUCGGUGUAAGAUGAGCUCGCGUCCCAUUAAUUAGUUGGUGAGGGUAACGGCCCACCAAGAUAGCGAUGGGUAGCCGAUCUAAGAGGAUGACCGGCCACAUUGGAACUGAGAAACGGUCCAAACUCCUACGGGAAGCAGCAGUGGGGAAUAUUGCACAAUGGGGGAAACCCUGAUGCAGCGACGCCGCGUGAGCGAUGAAGGCUUUCGAGUCGUAAAGCUCUGUCCUAUGGGAAGAUAAUGACGGUACCAUAGAAGAAAGCCCCGGCUAAUUACGUG
rnacentral:rRNA from 1 species